AAUAGGGUAGCUAUUAACCUGCCGACAGGUGUGGUUGUCGGAGCAUCCUUCCUUUGCCUUUCUAGGCUGUUAUCUGAUCCUCAGUCAUUCCCCAAGCGCAUCUGCUUGGUAUAUCUCUAAAACUCAGUGCUUUCUAAAGGAUGGAAGAAAGAAUCAGGAACAUUGCAGAAGCGACUGAGAAACACAAGGCGUGGAACUGACGUUUCUCUGUUAAGUUAGCAGACUGGGACCUCCCCUGGAGUUGCAAGGACUCCAGCUGUAAAGGAAACUGCGCUUUGCCCUACAUCGGUUACAUCUGUAAUGACUACUCACUAGAGUUCUGCCAUGAUUCUUAAGGAGUAAACUUCUCCGACCACCCUUGCCGAGUGCUUAGAUUUCACAUAGGACAGGCUGGAUUGGACCUAGAGCUUUGCAGCAGAGAAUGACUUUGAACUUCAAGUCUUCCUGCUUCCAUUUCUCAAGUACUGGAUUUCAGGACACAGAAUCUUUAAGGAGAUGGCUGAGGUAAAAUAAGGUCAUAUGGAUCCUGACUCUAUCCAACUGGCAUGCUUGUAAGGAAAGGAGAUAAGGACACAGAUACAAGUGGUGUAGCUCCAUGAAGACACAGAAGACACGUCUGAGCCAGGCAGAGGCCUCUGGAGAGGUCUCACAGCACCUUGGUCUCAGCCUUUGCCAGCUCUGAAACAGCCUGGCCAGAGGGCCUCAAGACUGAAGCUAAGUAAGCAAAGAUGGUGAUUUUCCCCAUAUUCCCUUUUCAAGCACCUGUCUGCAAUGAGGGAAGGGACUCUGCUACAGGAGCUUCCAGGAAAAGAGCAUAGCAUAUGGGAGGAUUUGCUGCCCCAAGUAGUAGGAAAGCCUGAGCUGACUUCGGUACUCGGUGGUUGCUCCAGUCUAAAAUGGGCCUAUUGUCAGGAAGAGGCCAUCUGUGCGGUCUAAUUAAGCCAGCCAGCUCAACCUAGAAGGGGGUUGCUGUGCUUCUAUUGUGUGGAUGUGCCAAACUGGCUGACCUCUGACUUCAGGGGACAACACAAUAGGACAAACCCCACGUUCCAAGGCAACCUAACCUAUCAGCAGACUCUGCCAAAGGGACCCCGCUGGGACCUCACCCAUGAUCUUGGCAGCUGUGGAUGCUCCAAUGAUGAUGGACAAGUUGGGUGCAAUGAAGGACAUCCGGGACUCCACGUACUCAUAGAUGCGGUGUUUGGAGGCAUUCAGCUCCAGUGCCAUGUCACAGGCCUCCUCUAGCCGCUCUAGCUCCUCAUCCGACAGCUGCUGCCUACAUUGUGGAGCACGUGAGGGUUGUGGGCAGACUCCAGUUUUGCUAGGGUCUUAGCUCUUAUUCAGCUGUGGCCUCUGCCAGCUCAAAGGACACCCGCUCCAACUGCAACCAGAGUCUAUCCUCUGGGUCAAUCUGGUCUUGACCUCAUCUUGCUCCAAAAUUAAACCUUCCUAUAGCUUCCCAAAGCUUUGAGGCUACCGAGCAAGAUCCUCAGACUGGCACUCAAGGUCUCCCAUACAGAUGGAGGUCCACGUUCCCCACACCUGCAACCUUGGUGCACACAGCACAGGAGUCCCUUCAGUGAGAUCCGAUGACUCGUUGGCUCUAUAGCAUUAUCCUUUCUGCUCCAUCCUCCCAGCCACCACCGGGCACUCAAGGCUAUUUCACUCCUCCUGCCUUCACAGGUACUGUUCCAUCUCCCUGGAACAUUCCUUAAGUCUGUUUCUAGAAACCACACUUUAUGCAUAGACAAUUAAAUUGGUAUUGAG
rnacentral:lncRNA from 1 species